CAAAUUUGUGGGAAUAGCCCUGUUCAAUGAACACCUGGACUAUCCUUUAAUGAUGUCUACAUCAAUGGGAAGCCAAGCCACACUGCUAACUGAUGAGAGACCAGCUUGAAAGAGGGAGGACCUGCCAAUUGCCAUCAGCACAACUCCAGAUAUAUGGGAGUCAGGGCUUUAGGGCAAAAACCGGGGAUCACAGAAUGCUUGCUCAAUCAACUUUGCUCAUCCAAAAUCACAAAAAUCGCCUCA
rnacentral:lncRNA from 1 species